GAUGAACGCUAGCUACAGGCUUAACACAUGCAAGUCGAGGGGAAACGCCAUCGAAAGCUUGCUUUUGAUGGGCGUCGACCGGCGCACGGGUGAGAAACGCGUAUCCAACCUGCCCAUCACUUGGGGAUAACCUUGCGAAAGUAAGACUAAUACCCAAUGAUAUCUCUAGAAGACAUCUGAAAGAGAUUAAAGAUUUAUCGGUGAUGGAUGGGGAUGCGUCUGAUUAGCUUGUUGGCGGGGUAACGGCCCACCAAGGCAACGAUCAGUAGGGGUUCUGAGAGGAAGGUCCCCCACAUUGGAACUGAGACACGGUCCAAACUCCUACGGGAGGCAGCAGUGAGGAAUAUUGGUCAAUGGGCGAGAGCCUGAACCAGCCAAGUAGCGUGCAGGAAGACGGCCCUAUGGGUUGUAAACUGCUUUUAUAAGGGAAUAAAGUGAGAGUCGUGACUCUUUUUGUAUGUACCUUAUGAAUAAGGACCGGCUAAUUCCGUG
rnacentral:rRNA from 1 species